rnacentral:rRNA from 1 species
GGGUAGCAAUAUCUUGUGGUCGGAGCGGCGCAAGGGUGCGUAACACGUGGGUAAUCUGCCAUGAAGUUUGGAAUAACUUGCUGAAAGGCGAGCUAAUGCCGGAUGUGACAAUUAGGAGGCAUCUUCCGAUUGUCAAAGCUGGGGACCGUAAGGCCUGGCGCUUCAUGAUGAGCCCGCGGCCUAUCAGCUAGUUGGUAAGGUAACGGCUUACCAAGGCUAAGACGGGUAGCUGGUCUGAGAGGACGACCAGCCACACUGGAACUGAGACACGGUCCAGACACCUACGGGUGGCAGCAGUCGAGAAUUUUUCACAAUGGGCGCAAGCCUGAUGGAGCGACGCCGCGUGGGGGAUGAAUGGCUUCGGCCCGUAAACCCCUGUCAUUUGCGAACAAGUUGGUUCAAUUAACACCUGAACCAUUGAUAGUAGCGAAAGAGGAAGGGACGGCUAACUCUGUGCCAGCAGCCGCGGUAAUACAGAGGUCCCAAGCGUUGUUCGGAUUCACUGGGCGUAAAGGGUGCGUAGGUGGUGAGGUAAGUCGGAUGUGAAAGCUCGGAGCUCAACUCCGAAAUGGCAUUGGAAACUACCUUGCUCGAGGGUUGGAGGGGGGACUGGAAUGCUUGGUGUAGCAGUGAAAUGCGUAGAUAUCAAGCGGAACACCAGUGGCGAAGGCGAGUCCCUGGACAACUCCUGACACUGAGGCACGAAAGCUAGGGGAGCAAACAGGAUUAGAUACCCUGGUAGUCCUAGCCGUAAACGGUGCACGUUUGCUGUAAAAGGAAUCGACCCCUUUUGUGGCGUAGCCAACGCGUUAAACGUG